ensembl:lncRNA
GACCAAAUGAACAAAAAAACAUAAGCUCAUCCGCUUGCCCAAGCAGUCUGUUUUGUAUAUCUAGAGGCGAAUUGGCAAAGUAGGCUAUAACCUACGAUACCUAAUUUCUGUCUACUGAACCUAAUUUAAGUCCUUUAAGGAGAGGUGGGGGUUGGGGAGCAUUUUUAGGCAGAUUGCAGUAUCGUUUUACCUCGCCCAGGCCUAUUCAAAAUGUAAUUUCCCCCAGUCAGGAAUCUAGCUAAGGGUCUUUUUCACGUUUUCUCUCACCCGCUGACACCAUGCGUACUGUUGCUAAGUAACCGACCUGCGCGGUCCUCUGCCGCCAAAGACCUCUGCUGAGCUCUCGCAGGUUCUGUGUUAGAAUGCAAGCUUGGAACUCAUCGUGAAACAACAGACCACGGUCAACAAAACCUGGUGUAAGAUGUCCGCAAUGCACUGGGAAGCGCGUCGCCGACAGAGCAUGCUGGAUCGCCGCUUGUCGCGGUCCAAGCAGGUUCUAAACAACCCCCCUCAGACUGGCCCAGAAGCUCCCGCAGAGGCUCUGAAAGGCACACCUGUGCAACCAGAAAACGUAUGUGUCAACUGCAAACGUACACCUGUGGAUGCAACUGAAAACGGCGCUAAACUUCAAAACCGAUACAGCGUGAUCUGUGCAGUACUCUCAGCAGUGGUGAGAACAUCUGGGAGGUCAACCUCAGGUCAACCUUUAAACCACGAUUCAGUACCAUCCUUGUCCAGGCAUCCUUGUGUUCUGGGCCAAAAAGCAUUAUUCUGUACAAUUGUUGUAGCAAACUAAUCUCUUCAAAUCUUAAAGUUGGUACUUCAAUGAGAGGCAGACGACCAAAUGCGAUGAACUGAAGUUUAUUCAAUCUUGCAGACUUCCAUCCAAUUUGAGCGGUGGUCCAUGGAGCAUCGCUGUCAAAAAUCAGUGCACUUUUAUACUACAAUUUCCAUCACUAUGCUUUUUCAAACUAAACACUUAUCAACGUUGAGCCAAUCAGAAUAUUCUGCUCACUUAUUGCCGAAAAACAUUUCAAGAAAAUGGUGACUUGUGAGAGCAGGUAUGUGUCCUUGUCUAUGUUUCUAUUUUGUCCUUGACUUGUCUGCAUCUCUUAUCCAGAGACUCCUUCAUAAAUGCUUGGCUGUCCUCCUUUUCAAAAACAGGCCUUUCUGCUUGACCUUACAAGACACUCAUCUCUGCACACGGGCCUUUCUGCCUACACAACACUUGUCUUUUGGCAAAACUGCUCCAUGUUCACCACACCACUGUAAUACAACCAUUGUAUUUUUAUCUACACUAUCAAAUAUGUUCAGCAAUUAUUAAAGCAUCCAUUAACUAAAUCCAUGACUUUGGGGUGCCGUCUAUGGAAUUUCCCUCAGAUUAAUUUAAUGAUGUGAAGGACUUGAAUGCAAUUAUGUAACCGUAUGGCAUAUUAUAUGCACUGGCUCUCGCGGUCACAGAUUACAUCCUCAUUAGUUUCAUCAGUCAUGCAGUCCAGCACAGCAGCAGUAUAUAAUGUGAUUAUAUAUUAUACACGUGAGUGGACGUCAGUGGAUGUUACAUUUAUAUUUUACAUUUAGUCUUUUAGCAGACGCUUUUAUCCAAAGCGACGUAAAAGGGAGAGAACAAUCCAGCUACG